rnacentral:piRNA from 1 species
UAAGGACAGAAAAGUGAAGGCAAAAUC